UACGUAGGGGGCAAGCGUUAUCCGGAAUUAUUGGGUGUAAAGGGCGAGUAGACGGGAAGAUAAGUUAGUUGUGAAAUACCAUGGCUCAACUAUGGGGCUGCAACUAAAACUGUCUUUCUUGAGUGCAGGAGAGGAAAGUGGAAUUCCUAGUGUAGCGGUGAAAUGCGUAGAUAUUAGGAGGAACACCAGUGGCGAAGGCGACUUUCUGGACUGUAACUGACGUUGAGGCGCGAAAGUGUGGGGAGCAAACAGG
rnacentral:rRNA from 1 species